AUUCCAGCUCCAAUAGCGUAUAUUAAAGUUGUUGUGGUUAAAAAGCUCGUAGUUGGAUCUCAACAGCCUUGAAGCGGUUAACUUUGUAGUUUUACUGCUUUAUAGGCUGUGCUUUUGCUGGAGGUUUAGGGGUGCUCUUGAUCGAGUGUCUCUGGAUGCCAGCAGGUUUACUUUGAAAAAAUUAGAGUGCUCAAAGCAGGCUAAAAUGCCUGAAUAUUCGUGCAUGGAAUAAUAGAAUAGGAUGUCGAUCCUAUUUUGUUGGUUUUCGGGACUCGACAUAAUGAUAAAUAGGGACAGUCGGGGGCAUUUGUAUUCAAACGACAGAGGUGAAAUUCUUGGACCGUUUGAAGACAAACUACUGCGAAAGCAUUUGCCAAGAAUGUAUUCAUCA
rnacentral:rRNA from 1 species